GGACGACCGCUGGCGGCGUGUUUACCACAUGCAAGUGGAGCGAUGAAAUUCUUUGGAAGUGGAUUAGCGGCGGACGGGUGAGUAACACGUGGUUAACUUGCCUUGUAGAGAGGAAUAGCCAUUGAAAAGGAUGAUUAAUACCUCAUAAUAUUGUAGCUUCGCAUGGAGCAACAAUCAAAGGAGCAAUCCGCUACAAGAUGGACCCGCGGCGCAUUAGCUAGUUGGUGGGGUAACGGCUCACCAAGGCGACGAUGCGUAGCCGACCUGAGAGGGUGAUCGGCCACAUUGGGACUGAGACACGGCCCAGACUCCUACGGGAGGCAGCAGUGGGGAAUAUUGCACAAUGGGGGAAACCCUGAUGCAGCAACGCCGCGUGAGUGAUGACGGUCUUCGGAUUGUAAAGCUCUGUCUUCAGGGACGAUAAUGACGGUACCUGAGGAGGAAGCCACGGCUAACUACGUGCCAGCAGCCGCGGUAAUACGUAGGUGGCAAGCGUUGUCCGGAUUUACUGGGCGUAAAGGGAGCGUAGGCGGACUUUUAAGUGGGAUGUGAAAUACCCGGGCUUAACCUGGGUGCUGCAUUCCAAACUGGGAGUCUAGAGUGCAGGAGGGGAAAGUGGAAUUCCUAGUGUAGCGGUGAAAUGCGUAGAGAUUAGGAAGAACACCGGUGGCGAAGGCGACUUUCUGGACUGUAACUGACGCUGAGGCUCGAAAGCGUGGGGAGCGAACAGGAUUAGAUCCCCUGGUAGUCCACGCCGUAAACGAUGACUACUAGGUGUAGGGGUUGUCAUGACUUCUGUGCCGCCGCUAACGCAUUAAGUAUCCAGCCUGGGGAGUA
rnacentral:rRNA from 1 species